CAUGCAAGUCGAACGGUAACAGGCCUUCGGGCGCUGACGAGUGGCGGACGGGUGAGUAACGCGUAGGAAUCUGCCUCAUAGUGGGGGACAACGUGGGGAAACUCACGCUAAUACCGCAUACGCCCUACGGGGGAAAGGAGGGGAUCUUCGGACCUUUCGCUAUGAGAUGAGCCUGCGUUAGAUUAGCUAGUUGGUAGGGUAAAGGCCUACCAAGGCGACGAUCUAUAGCUGGUCUGAGAGGACGAUCAGCCACACUGGGACUGAGACACGGCCCAGACUCCUACGGGAGGCAGCAGUGGGGAAUAUUGGACAAUGGGCGAAAGCCUGAUCCAGCAAUACCGCGUGUGUGAAGAAGGCCUUAGGGUUGUAAAGCACUUUCAAUUGAGAGGAAAACCUGCCGGCCAAUACCCGGUAGCUUGACAUUACCUUUAGAAGAAGCACCGGCUAACUCCGUGCCAGCAGCCGCGGUAAUACGGAGGGUGCGAGCGUUAAUCGGAAUUACUGGGCGUAAAGCGUGCGUAGGCGGUUCGUUAAGUCAGAUGUGAAAGCCCUGGGCUCAACCUGGGAACUGCAUUUGAAACUGGCGGACUAGAGUUUAGUAGAGGGGAGUGGAAUUUCAGGUGUAGCGGUGAAAUGCGUAGAUAUCUGAAGGAACACCAGUGGCGAAGGCGACUCCCUGGACUAGAACUGACGCUGAGGUACGAAAGCGCGGGUAGCAAACAGGAUUAGAUACCCUGGUAGUCCACGCCGUAAACGAUGUCGACUAGCCGUUGGCCCUAUUUACAGGGUUAGUGGCGCAGCUAACGCAUUAAGUCGACCGCCUGGGGAGUACGGCCGCAAGGUUAAAACUCAAAUGAAUUGACGGGGGCCCGCACAAGCGGUGGAGCAUGUGGUUUAAUUCGAU
rnacentral:rRNA from 1 species